rnacentral:rRNA from 1 species
UGGGAUGGUUGGGGCGGGUGAGGGGGUAGUGGAGAGGGUGCUAGUGUGGGUCGGAUUCACUGGUGGUAAAGGGUGCGUAGGUGGGGUGGUAAGUCUGAUGUUGAGUCGGCGGGCGAAACUCGGGAAUGGCAUUGGAGACUACCCUGCUGGAGGGUCGGAGGGGGGACUGGAAGUCUCGGUGUAGCAGUGAAAUGCGUAGAUAUCGAGAGGAACACCAGUGGCGAAGGCGAGUCCCUGGAGGACUCCUGACACUGAGGCACGAAAGCUAGGGGAGCAAACAGGAUUAGAUACCCCGGUAGUC